rnacentral:rRNA from 1 species
UGGGGAAUUUUGCACAAUGGGCGAAAGCCUGAUCCAGCAAUGCCGCGUGUGUGAAGAAGGCCUUCGGGUUGUAAAGCACUUUUGUCCGGAAAGAAAUGGCUCUGGUUAAUACCUGGGGUCGAUGACGGUACCGGAAGAAUAAGGACCGGCUAACUACGUGCCAGCAGCCGCGGUAAUACGUAGGGUCCAAGCGUUAAUCGGAAUUACUGGGCGUAAAGCGUGCGCAGGCGGUUGUGCAAGACCGAUGUGAAAUCCCCGAGCUUAACUUGGGAAUUGCAUUGGUGACUGCACGGCUAGAGUGUGUCAGAGGGGGGUAGAAUUCCACGUGUAGCAGUGAAAUGCGUAGAGAUGUGGAGGAAUACCGAUGGCGAAGGCAGCCCCCUGGGAUAACACUGACGCUCAUGCACGAAAGCGUGGGGAGCAAACAGGAUUAGAUACCCUGGUAGUCCACGCCCUAAACGAUGUCAACUAGUUGUUGGGGGAUUCAUUUCCUUAGUACGUAGCUAACGCGUGAAGUUGACCGCCUGGGAGUACGGUCGCAAG